AUUGAACGCUGGCGGCAGGCCUAACACAUGCAAGUCGAACGGUAACAGGAAGCAGCUUGCUGCUUCGCUGACGAGUGGCGGACGGGUGAGUAAUGUCUGGGAAACUGCCUGAUGGAGGGGGAUAACUACUGGAAACGGUAGCUAAUACCGCAUAACGUCGCAAGACCAAAGAGGGGGACCUUCGGGCCUCUUGCCAUCGGAUGUGCCCAGAUGGGAUUAGCUAGUAGGUGGGGUAACGGCUCACCUAGGCGACGAUCCCUAGCUGGUCUGAGAGGAUGACCAGCCACACUGGAACUGAGACACGGUCCAGACUCCUACGGGAGGCAGCAGUGGGGAAUAUUGCACAAUGGGCGCAAGCCUGAUGCAGCCAUGCCGCGUGUAUGAAGAAGGCCUUUCGGGUUGUAAAGUACUUUGCAGCGGGGAGGAAGGCGAUAAGGUUAAUAACCUUGUCGAUUGACGUUACCCGCAGAAGAAGCACCGCUA
rnacentral:rRNA from 1 species